AUGAACAACCUGCCCUAAAGACUGGGAUAUACGGCCGAAAGGCCGGGCAAUACCGGAUGUGGCGCCUUUUCUUAUGAGAGGUCGUUAAACGGGGCAACUCGCUUUAGGAGGGGUUCAUGGCCUAUCAGGUAGUUGGCGGGGUAAUGGCCCACCAAGCCUACGACGGGUAGCGGGUCUGAGAGGAUGGUCCGCUCGAGUGGGACUGAGACACGGCC
rnacentral:rRNA from 1 species